rnacentral:rRNA from 1 species
UGAACUGCAGGACACAUGAACAUCGAUAAGUUGAACGCAUAUUGCGCGUCGGGCGACACAGCUCGACGCACAUAUUAUUGAGAGUCC